UGAGAGACAGCGGACUUGUCUUUGUUUGCUCCUCAACCCGUCAGAACUAUCUCAAUUGAAAAGACUUAUUGUGUGUGAUACUUUUAAUUGUUUCUGCACGAUUCAUCUAUACGUCCCGACAGUGUACUAAGAGAGUAAAGACGACAGAUAACCUUUUCUCUUGAAGUUGUGUUGUUGGUGACCUGGUGGUAGUGAGCCGUCACAGUGGGGGGGCCGCUGUGGGAGAUAUAAAGGACUCUACUAUAUACUGUAUUUGAAGGUGAUACACGACUGUCUACAGACUCGUCAAGGUGUAUGGGAGCAAGAUAGGUGAGGACUUCGUAUGAAAUUCGUGGUGUAAGCUGGGUGAAGGGUACAUCAAGACAACCGAAGACACGACACAACUAAGAGAUCAGGAGUCAUGACGGACCCACAAAACACGAACAAGAACCUCAUCAGUAUAGGGAUUGGAGUUGGCUUUGGCAUAUUGUUUCUACUGUUACUAUGUGCUCUUCUGUAUGCUCUCUACCUCCGUUUUCGCCUGAAAUUCUCCAGGAUAAAUAGAAAAGAGAAUUUAAGCCCUGAGGAGCCUCUUUCUCCUGUACCAGAGACAUCCCACGGGCCACCAUCUACCCUAUCACCCUCAUUGACCCACAACGGUACUGGUAACAGGACACCCGAGCUCUCCCCGCGCAUCACUCAACCCAACUUCAUAAACGAGAAGCAACAAACCAGGAGUGUCAGCCCAGCCAACCUCCUCAGUACGACAGCACUACAGAACCAAUCUCAGUCGAAGUCUACCUUCUUAAAUUUGCCCGAAACAACUUCCACAGGUCUCGUAAGUGAACCGAUUUACGUGAAUGUUAUUGAAUCAGAUUAUGUCAACUCACAACCUGUUGAAUGGGAGGGUCAGCUUGAUCCAUUUCGUAACCGGCUUCAGCUUCGAGCCGACUCUCACAUAUAUGAAGAUGUUCCUUUAUUUGGACCUGUCUUAACAAGUAAUAUAUGAGCGGGGUAGUGACGGUGUGACAGUGUAGUGGUGUAAACUAACCUAACUCCUUUAGGUAGAAUUAGGGUGAUUAAUCUUCAUGUGAAAUAAGCUGCGGUGUUUAAUAUGCAACCGUUCCAAAAAUAAGUACAAACUGCAAAUUGCGUUUUACACACACACACACACACACACACACACACACACACACACACACACACACACACACACACACACACACACACACACACACACACACACACACACACACACACACACAAAAACGUAGCCAAGGAUUUGUGAUUUUUUCGCUAAGCAUAAUAUUUCUUCAUUAUUCUUCAAGAAACUUUUGUGACAAUUCCUUCCUUCAUCUGCGAGGGAAAAGCAAUUAAAAUAAAACUCUCAGGAACAGUGAACUCUUGGCAAAAUGUAUUUAGACAACUUAGGGUAUACACGGUAUACAUAGACGUUGUGUGUAUACAGGUACAGCAUAUAGACAGUACAUGUAUACAACAAGAUUAAAACCUAAGGCAAUUCGACUAAGGAUUCCCGACAAAGCCAUUCAGAUUGUUACUAUGUUUGUAUGAUGUGUAUAUUAUAUUAUUAUUAUUUUUUCAAUUUAUAUAUAACUAUGUAUGUAUAUAUAUUAAAUCUUUUGUAUAUGUA
rnacentral:lncRNA from 1 species